rnacentral:lncRNA from 1 species
AAAACAAAAAUGAGAAUCUGCAAUAAAAAAAGUGAUAUGUUAAUCGUAUAUGGACUUUGUUCAAAUAAAACUUUAGGGCUAUUAUCUGGCGCCAUUAAGUACAAAUGUCAUUAUCAAGCGUGAUUAAAUGUCCUUAUCAAGGGUGAGGGUGAUUACUAGAUCAUAUUGCCUGACCUGUUGUUUGAGAUCAUACCAUCUUGCAUUUUGGAACACUUUUUCUUGGGGACAUUUGAUCUGAAGAUUUAUCUGACGUUAAACUUGGAUCCUUAAUCAGUAGGAAAGAUUUAAAACUUAUAUGUUCAUUAUUCACAGUGCUGUUUGAGGAAUGGCAAUUGAGAGUUUCAUAGAGGAUAUAGUCUUGGCAUGACAGAGUGCAAGUGGUUUUAGAGUUUUGAAAUGUAACUAAACAGGUUGUGGGGCAUAGAGUUAGCAUUAAUAUUGAGCAAUGAAGUUGUGGUUGUAAUAAAUGG